rnacentral:rRNA from 1 species
UUAAAUUGAAGAGUUUGAUCAUGGCUCAGAUUGAACGCUGGCGGCAGGCCUAACACAUGCAAGUCGAACGGUAACAGGAAACAGCUUGCUGUUUCGCUGACGAGUGGCGGACGGGUGAGUAAUGUCUGGGAAACUGCCUGAUG